rnacentral:piRNA from 1 species
CUGCUCUGUAAAUAAAGCUAAUUAAACGUC